AAAGUUGGGGAGACCUGACGCUGAAAGAUGGACUCGCGUCCCAUUAGCUAGUUGGUAGGGUAAUGGCCUACCAAGGCGACGAUGGGUAGCCGGCCUGAGAGGGUGGCCGGCCACACUGGGACUGAGACACGGCCCAGACUCCUACGGGAGGCAGCAGUGGGGAAUUUUGCGCAAUGCUCGUAAGAGUGACGCAGCGACGCCGCGUGAAUGACGAAGGCCUUCGGGUCGUAAAGUUCUUUCGACAGGGAAGAAAAUGCCUAUAAGUAACUGUGUAUGUAUUGACGGUACCUGUAUAAGCAGCCCCGGCUAACUCCGUGCCAGCAGCCGCGGUAAUACGGAGGGGGCGAGCGUUGUUCGGAGUGACUGGGCGUAAAGAGCACGUAGGCGGUGUUGUAAGUCAUUAGUCAAAGACUAGAGCUCAACUUUAGUAAGGCUAGUGAUACUAUAAUACUAGAGUAUCAGAGAGGAUUGCAGAAUUCCUGGUGUAGCGGUGAAAUGCGUAGAUAUCAGGAGGAAUACCGUUAGCGAAGGCGGCAAUCUGGCUGGAAACUGACGCUGAGGUGCGAAAGCGUGGGUAGCAAACAGGAUUAGAUACCCUGGUAGUCCACGCUGUAAACGAUGGAUGCUAGGUGUUGGGCUUUUAAGUUCA
rnacentral:rRNA from 1 species